AAUUGGAGGGCAAGUCUGGUGCCAGCAGCCGCGGUAAUUCCAGCUCCAAUAGCGUAUAUUAAAGUUGUUGCAGUUAAAAAGCUCGUAGUUGAAUUUCGGGAUUGACACAUCGGUCGUGCCUUAAGGGGUAUGAACUGGUGUAGUCAAUUUCUCACCUUCUGGAGAACCGCGAUGCCCUUAAUUGGGCGUCACGGGGAACCAGGACCUUUACUUUGAAAAAAUUAGAGUGUUUAAAGCAGGCAUUUUGCUUGAAUACAUUAGCAUGGAAUAAUAAAAUAGGACGGCAUGAUUCUAUUUUGUUGGUUUCUAGGAUCACCGUAAUGAUUAAUAGGGAUAGUUGGGGGCAUUAGUAUUCAAUUGUCAGAGGUGAAAUUCUUGGAUUUAUUGAAGACUAACUACUGCGAAAGCAUUUGCCAAGGAUGUUUUCAUUAAUCAAGAACGAAAGUUAGGGGAUCGAAGACGAUCAGAUACCGUCGUAGUCUUAACCAUAAACUAUGCCGACUAGGAAUCAGACGAUGUUAAUUUUUUAAUGACUCGUUUGGCACCUUACGGGAAACCAAAGUGU
rnacentral:rRNA from 1 species